ensembl:lncRNA
UUCCCUGUUGUGUGCGCAGGCGUCUGCGCAGCCGAGGGUCAGCACCCAUCCCAGCUGCUUAGACAGCAGCAGACGCAGACCCGGCGGCAGCGGCAGCACGCGCAGAGCGUCUGCGCAGUUGGGCAGCAUUUUGCGCAGCUGCAUGCAACACAGGUACUGUAAUGUUGUGGGCCCAGAAUGUGAACGGAUCAGUUUCAUGCUGCUCUUGGCCGCAGUCGAACACACCAUCGGAUACAGACGCUUAUUCUGCAAGACAGAAAAGAGUGCGUGCAUGUCUUACCGAUGCAGCGCCGGUUCUUGUAGAAGCUCAGGGUGCCGUGCCAAAAGUCCAGAUGAACCCCGAUUAUGGACCCUUGACCGAACCGUGAUGAAAAGUUCACCUUUGACCCCUUAUGGUGUAAGUGACCUGACCCACGAUGAAGGUAGAUGAAGACAGAGAGUUAAAAAACACUUUAAAAAUACAGUCAGAGCAAUGUGGGAUUGGUCAUUUUAUAUAUUUUUGAAUGAAGUCUCUUCUGCUCUACAAGGCUGCAUUUAUUUGAUUAAAAAUACAGCAAAAACAGUAAUAUUGUGAAAUAUUAUUACAAUUCCAAAUAACCCAUUUCUAUUUGAAAAUAUUUUAAAAUGUAAUUUUAAAAAAAUGUGAUGCAAAUCUGAUUUUUUUUAUGCAUCAUUACUGCAGUCUUCAGUGUCACGUGAUCCUUCAGAAAUCAUUCUAAUAUGAUUAUCAGCAUUGAAAACAGUUGUGCUGCUUCGUAUUUUUGUGGAAACUGUGAUACCUUUUAUUUUUCAGGAUUCUUUGAUGAAUAGAAAGUUAAAAACAACAGCAUUUAUUUGGAAUAGAAAUCUAUUAUAACAUUAUAAAUGUCUUAUGUCACUUGGGAUCAAUUUAAUGUGUCCUUACUAAAUAAAAGUAUUAAUCUUACUGACCUCAAACUUCUAUAUCUAAAAUGACAUAUAAUGGAUCUUGUUUUAUACACAGACACGCAGGUUUUUUCAUGUAUUUAAAUGAAUAAUAUUGAUUUAACUGUAUAGAAUGUAGGGGUCACAUGACCUCUGACCUCACCUGUGUAGGACAGACCCCAGCUGUCCUCAUCUGUGCCCAACAGACUGCAGAAGCUAUGUUUGAACUGAUCCAGGUUCACUUCUGAUGUCCCGAUACCAACCAUCUGUACAUAAACACACAAGAUGCAUAUUUGAAAUAUUUCUUUCCACACUUUACUAAGACUUCAUAAAACAUACUUAUCGUCAGUGUUGUGGUUUAGUGUCUUUGUUCAUCCCAGUCCCUGUAUCUCACCAUAUCUGUGCCGUAG